GCUGGCGGUGUGUUAAUACAUGCAAGUCGAGCGCACUUUAUGUGAGCGGCGGACGAGCGAGUAACACGUUGGAACCUGCCCCAAACUCAGGAAUAACAUCUAGAAAUAGGUGCUAAUACCGGAUAGUCCCGCAAGUGGUAAAGAUUUUUCGGUUUGGGAGGGGCCUGCGUACUAUCAGCUAGUUGGUAAGGUAAUGGCUUACCAAGGCUAUGACGGUUAACUGGUCUGAGAGGAUGAUCAGUCGCGAUGGGACUGAGACACGGCCCAUACUCCUACGGGAGGCAGCAGUAAGGAAUCUUCCACAAUGGACGAAAGUCUGAUGGAGCAACACCGCGUGAUCGAUGAAGCCUUUAGGGGUGUAAAGAUCUUUUCUGAGAGAAGAACUCUGACGGUAUCUUAGGAAUAAGCACCGGCUAACUCCGUGCCAGCAGCCGCGGUAAUACGGAGGGUGCAAGCGUUACCCGGAAUCAUUGGGCGUAAAGCGUCCGCAGGCGGUUUGUUAAGUAAGAUGUUAAAUUUUCCAGCUCAACUGGAAAUCUAUGUCUUAAACUGGCAAACUAGAGUAUUACAGAGGUGUGCAGAAUUCUGUGUGUAGGGGUAAAAUCCGUAGAUACACAGAGGAAUACCAAAAGCGAAGGCAGCACACUGGGUAAUUACUGACGCUCAGGGACGAAAGCGUGGGGAGCGAACGGGAUUAGAUACCCCGGUAGUCCACGCCGUAAACGAUGGAUACUAGGUGUUGGGAGACUCGACCCUUCCGGCGCCGAUGCUAACGCAUUAAGUAUCCCGCCUGGGUAGUACGGUCGCAAGAUUAAAACUCAAAGGAAUAGACGGGGACCCACACAAGCGGUGGAGCAUGUGGUUUAAUUCGAUGAUAAGCGAGGAACCUUACCCAGACUUGACAUCCCGAGAAUUUUCCAGAAGUGGAAAAGUGCCGCAAGGAACUCGGUGACAGGUGCUGCAUGGUUGUCGUCAGCUCG
rnacentral:rRNA from 1 species